rnacentral:rRNA from 1 species
AGUUUGAUUAUGGCUCAGGAUGAACGCUGGCGGCAUGCCUAAUACAUGCAAGUCGAACGGAGUGAAGCCUUCGGGUUUCAUUCAGUGGCGAACGGGUGAGUAAUACGCAGGGAACCUGGCCAUGGCAGGGGGAUACACUCUGGAAACGGAGCAUAAGACCCCAUAGGCAGUAAGGCGGCAUCGCCUUGCUGUUAAAGAAAGCUGAAAGGCUUUGGCGAUGGAUGGACCUGCGGUGCAUUAGCUUGUUGGUGAGGCAACGGCUUACCAAGGCGAUGAUGCAUAGCCGGCCUGAGAGGGCGGACGGCCACACUGGGACUGAGACACGGCCCAGACUCCUGCGGGAGGCAGCAGUAGGGAAUUUUCGUCAAUGGGCGCAAGCCUGAACGAGCAAUGCCGCGUGAGUGAGGAAGGUCUUCGGACUGUAAAGCUCUGUUGCCGGGGAAAAAGGGGAAAUGCAGGAAAUGGCAUUUCAUGGAUGGUACCCGGCCAGAAAGCCACGGCUAACUACGUGCCAGCAGCCGCGGUAAUACGUAGGUGGCGAGCGUUAUCCGGAAUGAUUGGGCGUAAAGGGUGCGCAGGCGGUCUGUUAAGUCUGAAGGCAAAGGGAUGAGCUCAACUCAUUUAUGAUUCAGAAACUGGCAGACUUGAGGACAGGAGAGGGCGGUGGAACUCCAUGUGUAGCGGUAAAAUGCGCAGAGAUAUGGAAGAACACCAGUGGCGAAGGCGGCCGCCUGGCCUGUGACUGACGCUGAGGCACGAAAGCGUGGGGAGCAAAUAGGAUUAGAUACCCUAGUAGUCCACGCCGUAAACGAUGAGGAGCAGGUGUUGGGAGUGAAAUCUCAGUGCCGAAGCCAACGCAGUGACUCCUCCGCCUGGGGAGUAUGCACGCAAGUGUGAAACUCAAAGGAAUUGACGGGGGCCCGCACAAGCGGUGGAGUAUGUGGUUUAAUUCGAAGCAACGCGAAGAGCCUUACCAGGUUUUGACAUCGGAUGCGAAGGCGCAGAGAUGCGCUGGAGGCUAUCAUCCAGACAGGUGGUGCAUGGUUGUCGUCAGCUCGUGUCGUGAGAUGUUCAGUUAAGUCUGGCAACGAGCGCAACCCCCGUGGUAUGUUACUAACGCAUUUGGGCGAGGACUCAUAUCAGACUGCCGGUGACAAACCGGAGGAAGGCGGGGAUGACGUCAAAUCAUCAUGCCCCUUAUGGCCUGGGCUACACACGUACUACAAUGGCGUCUACAGAGGGAAGCGACCCUGAGAAGGGAAGCGAAACCGGAAAAGGGCGUCCCAGUUCGGAUUGAAGUCUGCAACCCGACUUCAUGAAGAUGGAAUCGCUAGUAAUCGCGGAUCAGCAUGCCGCGGUGAAUACGUUCCCGGGCCUUGUACACACCGCCCGUCAAACCAUGGAAGCCGGCAACGCCCGAAGCCGGUGGCAUAACCUUUUAGGAGUGAGCCGUCGAAGGCGGGGCCGAUGACUGGGGUUAAGUCGUAACAA